GCAUAUUAUUAAGCGGAGGAAAAGAAACCAACAGGGAUUCCCCUAGUAAGUGCGACCGAACAGGGAGGAGCCCAGCGUGUAGCCUCGAACCUCCAUUCCCGGGGGCAAGAGGGAUGCCACGUUCCGGAGGGUCUCCUUCUAGGGUCCAGGCGCAGCUAAGUCCGCUUGAACGCGGCCACUACCCAUGGAGGGUGCGAGGCCCGUAUGCUUUGUCGCCUGGGCCUUGGAACGGCCCUUCCGUAGAGUCGGGUUGCUUGAAACUGCAGCCCAAAGCAGGUGGUAAACUCCAUCUAAGGCUAAAUAUCACCACGAGUCCGAUAGCGAACAAGUACCGUGAGGGAAAGUUGAAAAGAACUUUGAAGAGAGAGUUCAAGAGUGCGUGAAACCGUUGAGAGGAAAACGAGUGGAACCUCGAAGGUCGAACGGGGGGAUUCAGUCCGGAGAGAGUCGGCAGCCGGGGUGUCGGGGACCGCAAGGCCCCGCCCCCGUCUCGCGGGCCUCCACGGGCGUACUUCCCCCUUAGUAGGUCGCCGCGACCCGUUGCGGGGCUGUCGAAGGCCCGGGUGGGCGGAACCGUCCCUCCGUGGACGGGGACCCCCCGGUGUCCUGGCUGGCCCUGCGACGGUCCCAUCCCGGUGCCCGCUUUCAAAGCGUCCCUUCUCUGGGGCAGUGGCGCCCUUCUGCGGCGUGUAGGUCGGUGAUCCACUCGACCCGUCUUGAAACACGGACCAAGGAGUCCAACAUGUGUGCGAGUCAUUGGGCGAACUAAACCCAAAGGCGCAAUGAGAGUAAAGGCCAGCUUCACGCAGGCUGAGGGCCGAUCCCUUCGGGGCGCAGGCUCGGGACUUGCAUGCCCCAUCGCGGGCGGUGAGUACCUAGAGCAUACAUGUUGGGACCCGAAAGAUGGUGAACUAUGCCUGGCCAGGAUGAAGCCAGAGGAAACUCUGGUGGAAGUCCGUAGCGAUUCUGACGUGCAAAUCGAUCGUCGGAGCUGGGUAUAGGGGCGAAAGACUAAUCGAACCAUCUAGUAGCUGGUUCCCUCCGAAGUUUCCCUCAGGAUAGCUGGUGCUCGUCACGGAGUUUCAUCCGGUAAAGCGAAUGAUUAGAGGCCUUGGGGACGAAACGUCCUCAACCUAUUCUCAAACUUUAAAUGGGUGAGAAGUCGGGCUUGCUUGAGUUGAAGCCCCGGCAUUCGAAUCCGAGCACCUAGUGGGCCAUUUUUGGUAAGCAGAACUGGCGCUGUGGGAUGAACCAAACGUCGAGUUAAGGGGCCUAAACGGACGCUCAUCAGAUCCCAUGAAAGGUGUUGGUUGCUAUAGACAGCAGGACGGUGGCCAUGGAAGUCGGAAUCCGCUAAGGAGUGUGUAACAACUCACCUGCCGAAGCAACUAGCCCUGAAAAUGGAUGGCGCUCAAGCGUCCUCCCGAUACUCGACCGUCGGGGCAGUUACGGCCUUUACGGGUCUCGAAGCCCCGACGAGUAGGAGGGUCGUGGCGGUGAGCGUUGAAGGGACCGGCGUGAGCCGGCCUGGAGCCGCCGCUAGUGCAGAUCUUGGUGGUAGUAGCAAAUACUCGAGUGAGAUCCUUGAGGACUGACCGUGGAGAAGGGUUCCAUGUGAACAUCAGUUGAACAUGGGUUAGUCGGUCCUAAGCCUCAGCCGAAAGGCGUCUCAGCGCUGGCAAGGUGUCAAUCCAAACUCUUGGAAGCCUCGAAAGUCCACACUGUCGCACUCGUGCCUCACACGGACCAUGAAGGGCGACCUGGGGGACGCCUUGACCCCCGAGCAAUACCGGCGGAGAAGACUUGUUCUUUUUCCGACGCCUCGCUGGGGUCGACUGGCGUCCUGUUUCCUUCCCCCUCACCGGAGAAGGGUCAGGCGUUUGCCGUACAGCCGUUGUAGAUUUGUAGGCGAAAGGGAAUCUGGUACUUAUUCCAGAACCUCGUCCCGGAUAAGACGUCCCCGAGCCUUCGGGCGAGGGUAUAACGGUCCUGGUAACGGGAAUGACCCUGCAUACACUGGCGGCGGUCCGGGGAANAGUUUUNUUUUCUGUUUAAGACACCGUGACCCUGGAAGCUACUCNCAAGGCGAUAGGGUCGUGGUAGCGUANAGCGCAGCGGUUCUUGNUGCGUCCCGUGCGCCGUCGUCGGUCCUUGAAAAUGCAGGCGAGGGCGGAAACCCAAAGGUCGAUUUCAUGCUGGUCGCGACUCGUCGCUUCUGGAAGUUUCUUCCGACGGGGUAGUAUGCUCUCUGACGUCGACUGGUUACNCAGUAAGGAACUUGGAGGAAAAGGCCUCGGCCUUCUACACCAUUUACCUGAAACAACACCAGCUUGUCCAGUUAAACGUUGGCGGAGAAAUCCCCUUCACGGACUUUCGGGCGAGUCCGUACCCAUAAAAACAGCAGGUCUCCAAGGUAAAGCCCA
rnacentral:rRNA from 1 species